AGUGGAACAGAGUUUACCUUAAAGCAAUUAUAAUAAGACAAUGGUGGAAAAAAGGAAGAAGGGUUUUGCUUAAAAUACUCAAAAGAUUUCUGUUUUAUUUGAUUCAAUUCAAUUGAAAAAAAAGUUAUUGAUUUCAUUUUCAUCAUCAUCUUCUUCUUCUUCUUCUUCUUCCCUCCCCUCUGUUUUGAGCCAUCGCCAUCAUUGGCCAUUUUCUACAGCUUUACUUUCUGUAAUCUCCUUCUUCUUCUCUUGAUUCUGCCCAAUCAAUCUCUUUCUUUCCCUAACCUCCAUCUGGGUUUUUGAGAAAAACUAAAGAGGGCUCGGAAAACUUUGUACCCACUUGAAAAUUUUCGAUUUUCGAUCUCGUUUCACUGUUCUUUCUCUUUUUCUGUAAGAUUUCAACGAACCCCUUUUUCUUUUCUUUCUUUCGCUAUGACUGUGGAGGGUCAUUCUGUUGCUGUAGUCGGUGAUGAUGGGGCUACUGAUCAUUUUCCUGUUGGGAUGCGUGUUCUUGCUGUUGACGACGACCCUAUUUGUCUCAAAGUACUCGAAUCUCUCCUCCGUAAAUGCCAAUAUCAUGUUACAACGACGAAGCAGUCCGUUGAGGCUUUGAGGAUGUUGAGAGAAAAUAGAAACAAAUUUGACUUGGUUAUCAGUGAUGUGAACAUGCCUGAUAUGGAUGGUUUCAAGCUUCUUGAGUUGGUGGGGCUUGAAAUGGACCUACCUGUAAUCAUGUUAUCAGCACAUAGUGAUACUGAGCUUGUUAUGAAGGGGAUUGCACACGGUGCGUGUGACUAUCUGUUGAAACCAGUUCGAAUCGAGGAGUUGAAAAACAUUUGGCAACACGUGAUUCGGAGAAAGAAGCUUGAACCGAAGGCGAAAAACAAGUUCCCUAGUCAAGAUAAGGUUCGAAAUGGAGGCAAUGAAGUUGAACAAGGUUUCUCACCGACGAGUAAUGCAGACAGUGCAAAAUUCAACAGGAAACGGAAGGACCAAGAUGAUGAUGACGACGACGAAGGAAAAGAGAAUGGGCUUGAUAGUGACGACCCCUCGAACCAGAAAAAGCCUAGGGUAGUAUGGUCAGUUGAGUUGCAUCGGAAGUUCGUUUCGGCGGUUAAUCAGUUGGGUCUUGAAAAGGCCGUGCCAAAAAAAAUCCUGGAUCUGAUGAAUGUUGAAGGACUUACCCGAGAAAAUGUGGCAAGUCAUUUGCAGAAAUAUAGGCUUUAUCUGAAAAGAAUCAGCAAUGUGGCAUCCCAACAAGCUAACAUGGUUGCUACAUUUGGGAGCAAAGAUGGCACUUACAUGCGAAUGGGUUCACUUGAUGGAUAUGGAGACUUACACGGCUUUGCAGGAUCAGGGCGGCUUCCGAACUCUUCGUUGUCCUCUUAUUCACCUGUAGGAAUGCUUGGAAGAUUGAACUCCCCGGCUGGAAUGAACCUGCGUGGAAUCACUUCAUCUGGACUGAUCCAGCAAAACUCCCAAAAUUUGAACUGCGCCAUUAAUAACCUUGGCAAACUCCAACCAACUACAAUGUUGUCUCCUAACCAAACUACUAAUCUGUUGCAAGGGAUUCCAACAUCACUUGAGAUCGGUCAGUUGCAACACAGCAAGUCCACCACUUCCAUUGGAGACUUCAAUACAAUGAAUGAGACUUCCGGGUUUGGAGUUCCCAACAGUUUUCCUGAAGCUAGAGCAAAUAUUGGAAAUUCAACCUAUUCGGUUUCUCCUGCCCCAUUGGUGUUACAAGGAACGAUGCCAACAUAUGGAAAUCAGACCUCCCUUAGAGUCGAUCCGCUAAAUGGAGAAACUUUUGACAUAGAUGUUGGUGGUUCAAACUUUUUGGAUCCUGAUCCUUCUAAUGGAAACUGGCAGGGAGCAGCACAUUUGUCUAGAUUCUCAGCAACUUCAUUGACCACCAAUGAAGCUUAUCCGAGUGAUCAAUUGCAUUCAAUGAACUCAGGCAUUUCUUCUACCCCCUCGACGAUCGGGAACAUCUCGGUUGAUUUUUCCUCUAGAAGUGCAGGUUCAGCUUCCUUACUGGAUUCAAGAGACGUCCAAUGCCAGGCAGGGGUAGUUGGCAGUGUUAUUCAAUCUAUGAAUACCAUGCCAAAGCAGAGUUGGGAAGAGCAUAAACAUGGCUACAGUCGAAACAUGCAGCAUAAUCUUGGUGCAAUCAAUUCUCUGGUUUCCAGCGAUGGGAGUCCAACCCCCUUAAACCAGAGUUUCAAUCAGAAUAGUGUCGUACGUGAUAGAAAGGUUGGUUCAUCUUUAAUAGUCCCAUCAAAUGUUGCGUCACUGUCCUUCCCUCAACAUGGUGUGGUUGAAAAAUUGGGUCCCAACACAAAGACAAAUGUGGAUGGAAACUACCUUUUGAAUCAGAUGAAGUCACACGAUGGAUCAAUUCAAGGCAGUUUCGAGUCCUUGGAUGAUAUAAUGAAUUCGAUAAUCAAACGGGUAUAGUCAAAUUUCUCGCUAAAUAUUUAGAUACUGGAUUCUGAUGUGCCUUCAAAUUUUCAAUUUUUCUCAAAGUUACUUUUAUGUGAAAAUUCUCCUCCCUGUUGAAAUUGGCACCUGACAUAAUUAUAUAUAUAGAAAUUCCUUUCUUUUGAAUGUUUGUGCUGUUUUCCUAACCACUUCUGCUAUGAUUGUGUCAACUUGUUGCUUGCUGUUAUAGUGAUACAAAUACAGAUUGGUUUACUGCAAUCAAGUUUGCCAAACGCGGAACAAAAUGAAAUACCAGAAAUGAAUGAAGAAUUUGGAUUUGAUCAUUUCUAUCUAGGAUCAUGUAUUUGAGACCUCUACCUGCUGACUGUUGGAUGGAAACACAAAGGCAUUAAUGGCAACACGGUGAUCCGAAAGCAGUUCGUGUACGUACCAUAAUGUAAUUCUUCGUCAGUUUGGUUUGUUUCCACAAGGUUCCAUCUGUAUCUGUUCAUCUAUUUACUGAUGCAAAACAUCUGGUUUCGAGGUCAUAACGAAACGGCAGACAUGCCCCUCCUUUUCAUUGUUCAUAAAAUAAUGACAAGACAACUUCCCAAUCUUCUCUUAGUCGUUUUUCUGUUGUCCUUUGAGAAAGAAAGUAUUAAAAUGUAACAUGAAGGCCUACUCUUUGAUUAAUUAAUGCAGAUUUCCAAUGUUUCUUUCA